rnacentral:rRNA from 1 species
UGGGGAAUAUUGGACAAUGGGCGCAAGCCUGAUCCAGCCAUGCCGCGUGAGUGAUGAAGGCCUUAGGGUUGUAAAGCUCUUUUGUCCGGGACGAUAAUGACGGUACCGGAAGAAUAAGCCCCGGCUAACUUCGUGCCAGCAGCCGCGGUAAUACGAAGGGGGCUAGCGUUGCUCGGAAUCACUGGGCGUAAAGGGCGCGUAGGCGGCUAUUUAAGUCGGGGGUGAAAGCCUGUGGCUCAACCACAGAAUUGCCUUCGAUACUGGAUAGCUUGAGUAUGGUAGAGGUUGGUGGAACUGCGAGUGUAGAGGUGAAAUUCGUAGAUAUUCGCAAGAACACCGGUGGCGAAGGCGGCCAACUGGACCAUUACUGACGCUGAGGCGCGAAAGCGGGGGGAGCAAACAGG